rnacentral:rRNA from 1 species
AUUGAACGAUGGCGGCAUGCUUUACACAUGCAAGUCGAACGGUAACAGGUUAAGCUGACGAGUGGCGAACGGGUGAGUAAUGCAUCGGAACGUGCCCGGUCGUGGGGGAUAACGCAGCGAAAGCUGCGCUAAUACCGCAUACGAUCUGAGGAUGAAAGCGGGGGACCGUAAGGCCUCGCGCGAUCGGAGCGGCCGAUGUCAGAUUAGGUAGUUGGGGGGGUAAAGGCUCACCAAGCCAACGAUCUCUAGCUGGGCUGAGAGGACGACCAGCCACACUGGGACUGCAACAAGGCCCAGACUCCUACGGGAGGCAGCAGUGGGGAAUUUUGAGCAAUGGGCGAAAGCCUGAUCCAGCAAUGCCGCGUGGAGGAAGAAGGCCUUCGGGUUGUAAACUGCUUUUGUACGGAGCGAAAAGGUCUCCUCUAAUACAGGGGGCUCAUGACGGUACCGUAAGAAUAAGCACCGGCUAACUACGUGCCAGCCGCCGCCGUAA